AGGACGAACGCUGGCGGCGUGCCGUAAUACAUGCAAGUCGAACGGUCUUUCUAUGGAAGCUUGCUUCCACUGAGAAGAUAGUGGCGAACGGGUGAGUAACACGUGGGUAACCUGCCCAUAAGAGGGGGAGUAACAUCCGGAAACGGGUGCUAAUACCGCAUAGUUUUCUUGAUCGCAUGAUUGAGAAAGGAAAGACGGCCUUUGUGCUGUCGCUUAUGGAUGGACCCGCGGCGUAUUAGUUAGUUGGUGAGGUAACGGCUCACCAAGACGAUGAUACGUAGCCGACCUGAGAGGGUGAUCGGCCACAUUGGGACUGAGACACGGCCCAAACUCCUACGGGAGGCAGCAGUAGGGAAUCUUCCGCAGUGGACGAAAGUCUGACGGAGCAACGCCGCGUGAGUGAAAGAAGGUUUUCGGAUCGUAAAACUCUGUUGUCAGAGAAGAACAAGUUGGAGAGUAACUGCUCCAGCCUUGACGGUAUCUGACCAGAAAGCCACGGCUAACUACGUGCCAGCCGCGGC
rnacentral:rRNA from 1 species